rnacentral:rRNA from 1 species
GGUCAAGUGAAGAAGCGCAUACGGUGGAUGCCUUGGCAGUCAGAGGCGAUGAAAGACGUGGUAGCCUGCGAAAAGCUUCGGGGAGUCGGCAAACAGACUGUGAUCCGGAGAUGUCUGAAUGGGGGAACCCAGCCAUCAUAAGAUGGUUAUCUUGUACUGAAUACAUAGGUGCAAGAGGCGAACCAGGGGAACUGAAACAUCUAAGUACCCUGAGGAAAAGAAAUCAACCGAGAUUCCCUUAGUAGUGGCGAGCGAACGGGGACUAGCCCUUAAGUGGCUUUGAGAUUAGCGGAACGCUCUGGAAAGGGCGGCCAUAGUGGGUGAUAGCCCUGUACGCGAAAAUCUCUUAGUCAUGAAAUCGAGUAGGACGGAGCACGAGAAACUUUGUCUGAAUAUGGGGGGACCAUCCUCCAAGGCUAAAUACUACUGACUGACCGAUAGUGAACUAGUACCGUGAGGGAAAGGCGAAAAGAACCCCGGAGAGGGGAGUGAAAUAGAUCCUGAAACCGUAUGCGUACAAGCAGUGGGAGCCCACUUUGUUGGGUGACUGCGUACCUUUUGUAUAAUGGGUCAGCGACUUAUUUUCAGUGGCGAGCUUAACCGAAUAGGGGAGGCGUAGCGAAAGCGAGUCUUAAUAGGGCGUCUAGUCGCUGGGAAUAGACCCGAAACCGGGCGAUCUAUCCAUGGGCAGGUUGAAGGUUGGGUACACUAACUGGAGGACCGAACCGACUACCGUUGAAAAGUUAGCGGAUGACCUGUGGAUCGGAGUGAAAGGCUAAUCAAGCUCGGAGAUAGCUGGUUCUCCUCGAAAGCUAUUUAGGUAGCGCCUCAUGUAUCACUGUAGGGGGUAGAGCACUGUUUCGGCUAGGGGGUCAUCCCGACUUACCAAACCGAUGCAAACUCCGAAUACCUACAAGUGCCGAGCAUGGGAGACACACGGCGGGUGCUAACGUCCGUCGUGAAAAGGGAAACAACCCAGACCGUCAGCUAAGGUCCCAAAGUUAUGGUUAAGUGGGAAACGAUGUGGGAAGGCUUAGACAGCUAGGAGGUUGGCUUAGAAGCAGCCACCCUUUAAAGAAAGCGUAAUAGCUCACUAGUCGAGUCGGCCUGCGCGGAAGAUGUAACGGGGCUCAAACCAUACACCGAAGCUACGGGUAUCACUUAGGUGAUGCGGUAGAGGAGCGUUCUGUAAGCCUGUGAAGGUGAGUUGAGAAGCUUGCUGGAGGUAUCAGAAGUGCGAAUGCUGACAUGAGUAACGACAAUGGGUGUGAAAAACACCCACGCCGAAAGACCAAGGUUUCCUGCGCAACGUUAAUCGACGCAGGGUUAGUCGGUCCCUAAGGCGAGGCUGAAAAGCGUAGUCGAUGGAAAACAGGUUAAUAUUCCUGUACUUCUGGUUAUUGCGAUGGAGGGACGGAGAAGGCUAGGCCAGCUUGGCGUUGGUUGUCCAAGUUUAAGGUGGUAGGCUGGAAUCUUAGGUAAAUCCGGGAUUCUAAGGCCGAGAGCUGAUGACGAGUUACCCUUUGGGUGACGAAGUGGUUGAUGCCAUGCUUCCAAGAAAAGCUUCUAAGCUUCAGGUAACCAGGAACCGUACCCCAAACCGACACAGGUGGUUGGGUAGAGAAUACCAAGGCGCUUGAGAGAACUCGGGUGAAGGAACUAGGCAAAAUGGCACCGUAACUUCGGGAGAAGGUGCGCCGGUGAGGGUGAAGCACUUGCUGCGUAAGCCCACGCCGGUCGAAGAUACCAGGCCGCUGCGACUGUUUAUUAAAAACACAGCACUCUGCAAACACGAAAGUGGACGUAUAGGGUGUGACGCCUGCCCGGUGCCGGAAGGUUAAUUGAUGGGGUUAGCUAACGCGAAGCUCUUGAUCGAAGCCCCGGUAAACGGCGGCCGUAACUAUAACGGUCCUAAGGUAGCGAAAUUCCUUGUCGGGUAAGUUCCGACCUGCACGAAUGGCGUAACGAUGGCGGCGCUGUCUCCACCCGAGACUCAGUGAAAUUGAAAUCGCUGUGAAGAUGCAGUGUAUCCGCGGCUAGACGGAAAGACCCCGUGAACCUUUACUAUAGCUUUGCACUGGACUUUGAAUUUGCUUGUGUAGGAUAGGUGGGAGGCUUUGAAGCGUGGACGCCAGUUCGCGUGGAGCCAACCUUGAAAUACCACCCUGGCAACUUUGAGGUUCUAACUCAGGUCCGUUAUCCGGAUCGAGGACAGUGUAUGGUGGGUAGUUUGACUGGGGCGGUCUCCUCCUAAAGAGUAACGGAGGAGUACGAAGGUGCGCUCAGACCGGUCGGAAAUCGGUCGUAGAGUAUAAAGGCAAAAGCGCGCUUGACUGCGAGACAGACACGUCGAGCAGGUACGAAAGUAGGUCUUAGUGAUCCGGUGGUUCUGUAUGGAAGGGCCAUCGCUCAACGGAUAAAAGGUACUCCGGGGAUAACAGGCUGAUACCGCCCAAGAGUUCAUAUCGACGGCGGUGUUUGGCACCUCGAUGUCGGCUCAUCACAUCCUGGGGCUGAAGCCGGUCCCAAGGGUAUGGCUGUUCGCCAUUUAAAGUGGUACGCGAGCUGGGUUUAGAACGUCGUGAGACAGUUCGGUCCCUAUCUGCCGUGGACGUUUGAGAUUUGAGAGGGGCUGCUCCUAGUACGAGAGGACCGGAGUGGACGAACCUCUGGUGUUCCGGUUGUCACGCCAGUGGCAUUGCCGGGUAGCUAUGUUCGGAAAAGAUAACCGCUGAAAGCAUCUAAGCGGGAAACUUGCCUCAAGAUGAGAUCUCACUGGGACCUUGAGUCCCCUGAAGGGCCGUCGAAGACUACGACGUUGAUAGGUGGGGUGUGUAAGCGCUGUGAGGCGUUGAGCUAACCCAUACUAAUUGCCCGUGAGGCUUGACCAU